rnacentral:lncRNA from 1 species
UGAUGCUUUCAUUUGGUAUCAUAUCCUAUAAUAACAGUUCAGUGAUAAUGUGUAAAGAGGUAGCUCAGUAAAUAAGCCAUUUCUUAUCUACUGUAUACAACAGUAGAGCAGAUAGCAGUAAUGAUAAGGUGUUUCCUGUAGAGCAGACGGCAGUAAUGAUGAGGUGUUUCCUGUAGAGCAGACGGCAGUAAUGAUGAGGUGUUUCCUGUAGAGCAGACGGCAGUAAUGAUGAGGUGUUUCCUGUAGAGCAGAUAGCUGUGGUUUAGCUGCUUUCACCUACUUGAUGAUUAACCCCAAUCCUCUUCUGUCUGUUCUGUGCAUCCACAGGGCAGUGGGAUGUAUCUAUCCCCAGUCUCUACUGAUGUAUCUAUCCCCAGUCUCUACUGAUGUAUCUAUCCCCAGUCUCUACUGAUGUAUCUAUCCCCAGUCUCUACUGAUGUAUCUAACCCCAGUCUCUACUGAU